rnacentral:rRNA from 1 species
AGAGUGCGUAAUAGCUCACUAGUCGAGUGACACUGCGCCGAAAAUGUACCGGGGCUAAACAUAUUACCGAAGCUGUGGAUUGUCCUUUGGACAAUGGUAGGAGAGCGUUCUAAGGGCGUUGAAGCAUGAUCGUAAGGACAUGUGGAGCGCUUAGAAGUGAGAAUGCCGGUGUGAGUAGCGAAAGACGGGUGAGAAUCCCGUCCACCGAUUGACUAAGGUUUCCAGAGGAAGGCUCGUCCGCUCUGGGUUAGUCGGGUCCUAAGCUGAGGCCGACAGGCGUAGGCGAUGGAUAACAGGUUGAUAUUCCUGUACCACCUAUAAUCGUUUUAAUCGAUGGGGGGACGCAGUAGGAUAGGCGAAGCGUGCGAUUGGAUUGCACGUCUAAGCAGUAAGGCUGAGUAUUAGGCAAAUCCGGUACUCGUUAAGGCUGA